AUGAUAUUGCGCUGGUGGGGGAAUUGUUGGCGGAGAGGGAGGUUCGGGUUAUGGAGGAAGCUCAGGCAGGAGAGGCUCCAUGUCUGGAGGAGGAGGAAGCUCAGGUCACGGAGGAUCCAGUUAUGGCAGCGGUGGGUGCAUUGGUGGAGGAGAAGGGGGUUCAGGAUAUGGAGGAAGCUCCAGCAGGAGAGGAUCCAUGUCUGGAGGCGGUCACAGCUCCGGUGGAUAUGGAUCUGGCAGUGGCAGGUGCAGCCCCCACAGCAGUGGGAUCAGCUCUGGAGGUUGGAGCAGUUCUGGCAGGAGAGGCUCCAUGUCUGGAGGAGGAGGAGGAAGCUCAGGUCACGGAGGAUCCAGUUAUGGCAGUGGUGGGUGUGUUGGUGGAGGAGAAGGAGGCUCAGGGUUAUGGAGGAAGCUCAGGCAGGAGAGGCUCCAUGUCUGGAGAAGGAGGAAGCUCAGGCUGGGGGGGAUCUAGUUAUGGCAGUGGUGGGUGCAUUGGUGGGGGAGAAGGAGGCUCAGUGUGUGGAGGAGGGUCUGGAUAUGGGGGAGGCUCAGGGUACAGAGGAGGAAGCUCAGGCUGGAGAUCAGUCUCUGGAGGAGGAGGAAGCUCCAUCACCAGAGGUUGGGGAUCAAGCUCUGCUGGCACCUGCAGCCCUGGCAGGGUGGGGGAAGGAGGUUGGGAUUGCUCUGGAGGGGACAGUUAUUAUGGAAGUGGGACCUACGGAGAUUGCACACCCAGCUGCCAAGAAGAGACUGAGGAAUGCAGCUCAGGAGGAGGAUGGUCUUCUCCAAGACCAGGUUACUGGUCUGCCUAUGGAAGUGGCUCAGGUUCCUCUGGGGAUGCUGCCCACAAGUAAAACUUGGAAGCAAAAUCUCACCAGUGGAACAGGAUGAAGCCGUUGCCUCAUUGUUGGGGCAGUGGGACUUUCCUGCUGUCACCACUGGUCUGGACGGGCUGUGUGCCAUCCUGAGCUCUCCCUGCACAACCACCCCUGGAGUCUCCAUCCCACUCCUCUGCUGGAUGCUGAUAUUGUGACGGUGUCCCUUCCUUGGGCUUUCUCAGAACUUUUAGUCCCUGGCUGUCUGGAACCUUUAUCUUUGGCAACUAAAAGCUUGAAACGCUGUCUGGUAUGUUUGUUUUGGUCUGGGGGAGGGCAGGACUCUGAUGUCUCUGAUGAGAUGUUUGAUAUAACUUCCCAUGUAAACGAAUUCAUGGAAAUCUGAUCCAGGAAAAAGCUCCUGGAAAAAUUGAAAAAGUGGAAGAAAGUGGCUGGAAAAGAAUGACAAAUGCAGAUUGUCUGCUGUAAAAAUGGUGUUUAGGGUCAAGUCCUUUAGGUCUGGUCUGACCAGUCAGCCAGGACAUGUGGCUACACCUCAUAUCCAUCAUUCCCUCCAGGAGUCACUCAUUAAGUAAUUUGGGGGCAGAUCCUCUGUAUUGCUUUUCUGGGGGCACUGCAGCUGCAGAUGAAGAAAGGAGCAGAAAGUCUGGGAAUAACAGUGUCUCAUCUCACUUUUGGUUCAAGUUAAGGUGAGAUGGGGUGUAUCUGAGGAAAUAUUUCUUGGCCAACGUCUGAUUUUGGAGUUGUCGUGUGCAGGGUCAUGAGUUGGACUCAAUGAUUGUUGUGUGUCACUUCCAACUCAGGAUAUUCCACGAUUCUAUCAUCUUAUUCAGUGGUGAUUUUUAUCACAGGAAGCAAGAUACUCUCCAAAUUUCUUCCAGAACCUCCUUGAAGUCCAAUCAAAAGUUCUAACAAAGCACAGAGCAGCUGAUUUGAUGUCAAAAGUUUGUUCAAGAAGCUCAGUUUAAUAAUGUCACCCUUGUUUAGCAACAAUCCACUGAGAUAACUGGAGUGUCCCAAUCUCAUUAGGAAUAUUCCAUAUCGUUUCCCCAGCUGGUGGGAAGGAGGAUCCUCUCUUCCUGAAAGAAUUCCAACUGUGAAGAGUCCUGGAAGGAGCAGGAGGGUGAGGGGGAGAGACACAGAUUUCUGGGAAAUCCACUGUGGAGACUCUUUUGCAAAGGACUGUAGAGCCACAGAAACAACAAUGGAGUGUUAAUAGAAUUAUGGAACUAUUUUGAUUGAUCAUUAAUAGUAAUUUUCCUUCACUGGGGGCUCCAAGAGAGCUGGGGAGGGACUUGGAAAGAAGUGAUGGGACAAGGGUGGGUUAGGGGAUGGAAGAGGGGAGGGUUAGGCGGGUCAUUGAGAAGAAGCUCUUCCCUGUGAGAGUGGUGAGGCCCUGGAAUGGAUUUCCCAUCCCUGGAAGUGUCCAAGGCCAGGUUGGAUGGCACUUGGAGCAGCCUGGGAUCAGCGGAAGAUGCCCCUGCCCACGGCAGGGGGUGGAACAGGACGGACCCCAAGGUCCCUCCCACCCCAAUGCAUUCCGUGGUUCCAUGUGGAGCCACCAGGGGCUAAAUCAAACCCUUGCAGCAAAGUCUGGAAACACUUUGGAAUCUCUGCAUGGAGGGAGCUCCAGACACUGUAGUUCAGUCAAAACCGGCACCAGCUGCGUUCAGCUUCAUGGCUUUAAAGAGGCUUCAGGAUCCAGGAGAAACCUCAGGAUGCAAAUGAAAACCACUGCAUCGUCACAAUCCUGUUUUGAUCCAAGGGAUUAGGCGCUAAUUCAGGCAAAACCUCGUCUUUUAUGAUAAAAAGUGGAGUGAUUCUGCACAGUGUGGAGGGUCACAGGGCUUUGGUUUCACUGAUAAAUUAAUUGUGCAGCCAGGGUGUUUCUCAUCUCUAAUUGGAGGAA
ensembl:lncRNA